rnacentral:rRNA from 1 species
GACGGAGGAUGCAAGUGUUAUCCGGAAUCACUGGGCGUAAAGCGUCUGUAGGUGGUUCGAAAAGUCCACUGUUAAAGAUUGAGGCUUAACUUCAAAAAUGCCCGUGGAAACUUUCAAACUAGAGUAUGGUAGGGGUAGAGGGAAUUUCCAGUGGAGCGGUGAAAUGCGUAGAUAUUGGAAAGACCACCGAUGGCGAAGGCAACUCUACUGGGCCAUUACUGACACUGGAGAGACGAAAGCUAGGGGAGCAAAUGGGA